rnacentral:rRNA from 1 species
GACGAACGCUGGCGGCGUGCCUAAUACAUGCAAGUAGAACGCUGAAGGAGGAGCUUGCUUCUCUGGAUGAGUUGCGAACGGGUGAGUAACGCGUAGGUAACCUGCCUGGUAGCGGGGGAUAACUAUUGGAAACGAUAGCUAAUACCGCAUAAUAGUAGAUGUUGCAUGACAUUUGCUUAAAAGGUGCAAUUGCAUCACUACCAGAUGGACCUGCGUUGUAUUAGCUAGUUGGUGAGGUAACGGCUCACCAAGGCAACGAUACAUAGCCGACCUGAGAGGGUGAUCGGCCACACUGGGACUGAGACACGGCCCAGACUCCUACGGGAGGCAGCAGUAGGGAAUCUUCGGCAAUGGACGGAAGUCUGACCGAGCAACGCCGCGUGAGUGAAGAAGGUUUUCAGAUCGUAAAGCUCUGUUGUAAGAGAAGAACGAGUGUGAGAGUGGAAAGUUCACACUGUGACGGUAUCUUACCAGAAAGGGACGGCUAACUACGUG